rnacentral:lncRNA from 1 species
AAAAAAGAAGCGACAGCAAUAAUACUCAGAGAAUCUCCUUCAUUCACCCCAAUAAACAGGUACAGAAUGGCUCCAACAGUCAGAGGUUGCCAGGCUGAAGUGCAACAAUCUCCACUACCAGAAAAGAGGUGCAGAAUAAAGUAAGACACUGCAGUUUCUGCUUUAUCUACAACAUGAGGAAGCCAUUCCAUUGAAGUGAGUGG